rnacentral:sRNA from 1 species
CUUGAGCAGCAGCACGCAGCAGGAAGGCUGCAGCAGCAGCAGCAGCUGCUGCUGCUGCAGCAGCAGCAGCAGCAGCAGCAGCAGCGGAGUCUGCUGCUGAUCCUCCUCCUAUUGCCAGUGCGCCGCCAUCCGUUGUGGCUCUUGCCGCAGCUGUGUUCCUGCUGCAGCUGUAGCUGCUGCAGCUGCUGCUGCUGCAGCUGCUGCUGCUGCAGCUGCUGCUGCUGCAGCUGCUGCUGCUGCAGCUGCUGCUGCAGCUGCUGCUGCUGCAGCUGCUGCAGCUGCAGCUGCUGCAGCUGCUGCUGCUGCUGCUGCUGCUGCAGCAGCUU